CUAAAAGUUAUUAUUUCAUUGCCUGGGGAGGAGUUUAAUAAGAAUCACAUUUGUAAUGGAGAACCCCCUCAAAGCUUUUUUGUUGUUGCUCUGUUUCUGCUUUAUGUAACAACUGCUCAUCCAUCUUUUCCAGGUCUAGUCUGAAUAGGCUGAAGUAUCUUUCUUGUGCUCAGUGAACAUCAUAUGUUGUCAGCUCUGCUGUCAUACGUCAAAAACCUCAUCCCAAUACUGUGAUGGCUUGGAAACAGCUCCUGUCGUUGUGCCAGAUGUUUCACAGAACGUAAGCAGCUCAUGGGGCUUCAGUAAGAAAACGUACAGACACGUGCAAGAAGGGCUUUCCUUCCGCAUCCAGCAGAACAGCUAAGUUAAUCAAAUCCUUGUUGUAAUGGAUCCCACGUAAGGAAUAGCUAUUAUGAAGUACAUCAGGGUCAGCCUGAAACUGAAGAUGGUUUUCUGUGAACUGCAGACCUCCAAAACUAAGCACCAUGCCUUGCAUAAGCCCGUGGACUCCGGCUGCCACAAGAGCCUUACACCCCCGUUUCUGGAGGGUCAGCUUCCAAAGGUCUGAGAGCUGCAAGAUCUGGGGCACGCUGGUCAGCUUUGCUGGCCACAGGUUCUCUGCAUGCAUGGUCGCGUGGCCACUGAAGCAAUGGUCAGCAUAGUUCAAGCUGGCUUCCAUUUUUUCUCUGUCCUCACCGCUAAUGAGUGGAUCUAGCAGAGGAGCUGGCAUGCUUGAAAGCAUAUAGUAGAGGGUCAUGUUAACAGUCUCACUGGAUGGUGUAUGUGAAUCUGUGAUCUUCCUCAUUUCAAUCCCUGAAAUGAACAGGUCUGACCAGGUCUGCUGGUGCUCCUGGAAAAGAUCUUCCACCCCCAUCUGCAUCACCUCCAGCAUCUCUUUCUUGGCCGACUCCCUCAGCUUGCUGAAAGUCUCCUCCAGCCUGGAGACCUCGAUGGGCUCCGAAGUGUACACCACAGACAGCACGGUUUCAUCAAAGGUAGACUUGGGUGCCACCUGCACCCGGCUCACGAGCUUCUUAGCAGCCACCACCAUGAGCACCACUUUGGGGCUGCCGGGCAGCAGCAGACGGCCGGAGGAGAGCAGGAACUGCCGCUCCUCCACCUUCUCCAAGCUGGUAGCGAAGCGGGCGCCCAGCGAAGGUGCAGAAGCUGGGGCUGAAGCCUCGAAGGUGGCCACCCGCUCGGUGGGGUUGGCGAUGCGGAUGCGCUGAAGGUAGAGAUGUGGCCGACUCCGGUGAGCCACCACCUCCUCUCGCACCGUCACGCACUCCCCGGCGCCUCCGGGACCGGCGCCCGUCUGUACGCAGCGCACCCUCCGCACGGCCCCGUCCCGCAGCGCCGCCUGCGCCGCCCGCGCCUCUCCGCGCGCUCCCAGCGCCCUCAACCGCACCAGCGCCGGGUACUCGGUGGGCAGCGACGGGCCUCCGCCAGAUCCUGCCACCGACACCCAGAGGCGGCCGGCGGCUACGUCCAGCAGGAGGAAGCCGUUACCCGCCAGCGCCAGGCUCGGCCCCGGCCCCCGCCGGCCUCGUCCUCCGGCAGCGGCAGCGCAUCGCCGCGCUCGGCCUGAGCCCGCCAGGGGCCCGCGGCCGCCUGCAGACAGAGGGCGGCGGCGCCGCGGGGCUCCGCUCCCCUCCCCGCUCCGUGCCGCGCCCUCCCGGCCCCCAGGUACCAGUAGGCGACGAGCAGGAGGAGCAGCAGCAGCAGUAGCCGCCGCGCCCAGCUGCUGGACAGCAGUCCCGGCAGCCCCUUCAGCCGCUGCUGCAGCCACAUGGGCGGCGGCGGCGGGGCGGGAGACCCGUCCCGUCCCGGCCUCGGCGCCCCAGCGGCCGCUUCCCGACCCCUCACGCCGCCAUUGCCGCCGGCCGGAAGCGCCGCGCCGUACGGCGGCCCCGCCGCACUCGGCGGCGCUUGGCGGCGCUUUGCGACACUUUGCGACAGUUGCGGCGUCGCGCCUUCUCCUCAGCGCUCGGCGGGCGGCCCGGGAGGUGGCUUGGCGGGGUGCCCCGGCUCCGUUCAGCACAGGCGCCGUCUCUGUAGUGACUUCAGUGGUGAAAGCAGACCGGAGCGGGCCUGAGGGAGUUUUCCAUCAUAUUAGAGGUCAUUGAUUCCCGUUAGUACGACGGAGCCUGAUGCGGGACAGUGUGUUCCUGCCACGUUUUCACGCCGUACGGAGUGCAGGAGGGUGGGCGCAGUGCUGUGACCCGCAGGGAUCAUCGAGCCCAACUGUUCGAUUUGGGCUGUUGUGGAGCUUUACGAUAGCAAAUGCGGGACGGGUCUGAGCCAUCCCCGCUUCCUCCAGCAGCUGUAUGCCAACAAGGAACGUUUCCCAUCUGCUCCUGCAGAUGUGUGCACAAUGGGCCAAGGAAAACUUUGGACUCCAGCGCAGCUCUCAAAGACAGUAGCAAACCGUGCAGAAACCCUACGAGCUGAAAUGAAACUGAAAUGAAGUGUGAAAUUCCUGCCCAGCUCAGCGCAGGGAGCAGCUCAGCAAAGGAGAACAGAGCCUUUCCCAACUCCCUGCCAAUGAGAUGUUUGAUUUUUUUAGGUUAGGGAUUUGUUGGGUUUUUUUUGGGGGGGGGGAGGGGGUGAUGGGGAGUGGCACACUGUGCUCUGUAAAAGGAACAGGUGAGAUCUCAUCCCUCGCAUGUACAGAGGUUGGGUGUGUUGUGAGUCUGCCUUAGAAGCUGAGCUCUGCUCCCUUCGGCUGUUGGGAAGUUGCAGCUCUGCUCAGAGCACGUGUUGCACGUACUCACAGGAACAUCUGCACUGGCAGCUGCUUCUGUUUAAAAAGACAGGCACCGACUCCAGCUCGAGCACGCAGAGCAGUGCAAGCAUGGAAAGAAGAAAGAACUGUGCUUGCUGGGUUAGCGUGGCUGCAGAAUGCAAACAAAGCUGUCAAAUAGGGACAGAGGAUGGUGGUAUUAAUGAUGCAUUCACGACUCCUAGCCCACGAAACAGCUUUCAUUUUAGAAUGGAGAGAUUGAACAGCCUUACAGUGAGAAACUUAAUAUUCCUACAACUCCAUAGCCUGAAUUGCAGCACUUUGAGCUUUGAAGGUGAGAGCUGAACACCUCUGCUGUGGCUCCCACCUUAAAUUGUAGAGAAUGCUGAAGAUUUAUCAAGAUCUUUUUCAGGGCUGCCUAAGUACAGCCAAAAUCUAAAGUGAAAGUGAUUUGUUUUUAUUCAGUUGGUGAAACUGGCAGUACUGAAAAAUGAAGUUUCUUGAAAUCACCAUCUUAGGGAGAACUGAUAUUUCCUUGGGUUCAUCAUUGCAGUUCAUCAUUGGAGCUUCAGAACUGCUGUGUUUGCCUGGCAAUUAGGAGGGAAUUCCUACUGUGGGGAGAGGGAGUGGAAACAAGAGUGCUUGGAAAACAAUCAAGAGCAUUCCCAGUGAGCAAAUAAAUACAAACGGUUAUUCUUUGCGAGGAAGCAUGGAGAAUAACAGCUGCAGUGUGCCCCUUCUAACUGAGAGCCCAAAGGCUCUUACGCUUCUCUAUGUCUCUUUCCAGUGUGUAUUCCAUACCCCGAGUCCAGCUGAUGUGUAUUGCAUUUCCUUUUUUAUCUCAACCCGCCAUCUCAGCACACACCCAUCACUUUUUGUGCCUCUGCUGAACCCCGUGGUGCUGGUGCUUUCUCCCUGAUACUGUAACCUGCAUCCCAUGGAGCAGCCUCCAGUGUGGCUGAGGAGCCAGGGCAUCUUUCAGUGAUGGCUUCAACAAUAUACCACAACUUGUUGUUUUAAUGAUGAAAUAUUCUUGUUUGCACCUCCCAGUAAAGGAAGUAAGUGAUUUCGGGAUGUUUCAGCAGUGGAAGAGAAGAUGGCUUUAUUUAAAUACAGCUCUGUCAUCUCUGUUUGCUUCAGCAGAAAAAAUGUGUCACCCGAGGGCUCACAGCACAGCAGGGUUCCCCUGCACUGAGCCAUACAUUCACCGCAACAUAAAAAUGACCAUAAACCCAUUUCUUUUAAAGAAAAUUAUAACUUUAUAAGGUAGGUUCAUUUUGCCUACUCUCAAAGUUAAGCAAAACAAGCUAGAAAAUGAAGUGUGGGUAAAUCAUCGGGGACGGAACAAGAAAUCCCAGCACCAGGACAGUGAAAUGUAAGAGAAGGAAGUAAAUGUAGCUGCAGAAAAGCAGCAUAGCAAAUCACGGCAGCAGAUUUUAUAUUCCAGAAGGAAACAGAUGAGAUACCAG
rnacentral:lncRNA from 1 species